GAGAAAUUGAUGAAUCGGAAGCAUAUUUGGAACUUACCGGUGGUGGAGACUCUUCAAUAUGCUCAAAGGGAGAAGAAAAUACCAGAGGCACCGACUCAAUUCCAGAUGCUGUUGAUGUGUUGAAAUCAUGGUGAAAGUGAUGAAAUUGGUGAUGACGAUGAGGAUUAGCGAUUAUGAGAGUUGCUGAAGAUUGAAGAAUCUGAAUCGGUGAUGACGAUUGAUGAACUUGCAGAAGAUCGAAGGCUCGGAAUAUGAAGUUGUGAAGAAGAUGAAUUGUGUGAGAGGAAGAGAGAGUGAUGAAAAUGAAGAAUGAAGAAGAUGAAGAUUGAGGUUAUUGAAGGAGAGUGAAGAUGGGAGAAGAUGAAUGAAGAAAAUGGUGGAGAGA